rnacentral:sRNA from 1 species
UUUAAUGAGUUCGUUUGUUCACCUUAGUAGAUAGGCCGAUUCUUAUUACACACCUAAAAACCAGACUCAUCAAAUAAUAGAUCCAACUACAUAUACUUAUGGUGGGCAUAUCUAUUGUCUGGAUUCAAGAUCUAGUUAGUUACUCUAGAUCUAGCAUUAAGCAUAAUUAAAGAUGAAGAAUUCUACAGAUAACCUAGCAAAGGGGGCAAUCUACUAAACUAUAUGAAUCCCUAAUGAGAAACCCUAUUCCUAACAAGCAGAUUACUCAGACAUAUUGAUUGAAGGAAACAACAUAAUUGAGUAUGAAAACAUAAACACGGCAAAUAGAUUUAAGGGAAAGAAGGGAUCUCUUCACUGUAUUAGGAACUGAAUCAAUCUCUGAAAACACUCGAUGAAUAGCUUAUGUCUCUCAGUAACAGGGUUUGCAAAAAGCUUGAU